UACAGUUCUACAGUUUAGUUUCUGCAAGAAACUGAAUUCUGCCAAUACCUUUCCCCAGUCAAGGCUUCAAUGAGACCACAGCCUGGCUGACAUCUUGACUGCAACCUUGUGAGACCCUAAGCAGAAGAUUCACCUACCCACAAUUGGACUCCUGACCCACAGAAAUUGCGAGAUAACAAACUGUUUCCUGCAAAUUGUAUAAACUUCAAGCUUCACAAAACCUGGAUGUGUUCCUGCUGAAGAGAGGGUGAGACAGUUACUGCCAGAAGAAAAUAUUUGAUGAAAAUGAAGGAACUUCCAAGUGCAUUUAAACGAACAUCAAACUCUUCAACUUCAGUAGAAAGCAUGUUUACUCCCCAGCCUUGCUUCAAAAUCCUCUCCUUUCUGUGUUGUCCAAUCCUAAACGCAUAUCAGGUUCCUUUUCCAACCCCAGUCAAGCUCUCCAUGGAAAGCCCUGCCUCCAAGAC